AAAAGUGAAAGUCAAUUUUUAAAAUGAUGAAAUUGGUGAAGAUACAGGUUUAAAGAAUGAAAAGAGAUAUACCUCCGAAGAUUUAGCCCGAGAAGGGGAAGUUGUUACCAUUCAGGCUGAAAGUGAAGAGGCCUCGGGUGGAAAGAUAUUUUCCUCCCUUAUGGCCUGUUUUAGAAAUCGGGCAAAGAGUCAAGAAGAAAGUAGAAAAGAUAAAGGAAAAACUCAAAAGAGUAAACUUGAGAUGUAGGUCAUACCUCCAGAGCUUCAAGAGUGGAAUCUUGCAGAUCCUUGGCCUUUUGAUACAUCUCAGCCCCCAAAGGAUCUUCCCUUGAGAAGACAGUCAACUUUUUGGUUGCUUGAGACCCUAGAUUCGAGGAAAAUGGAGUUAUUAGCUCUUAAACACAAAAUGCAAGUAAGAAGGGAGGAUUGAAACAAAGUUCACUUACUAGAAACCUUUUGCUUUUUUCUGUCUGCUUCAACGGGAUGAGUAGUGGAAGACUUGAAGGAUUUGGUGGUAUGUGCCCUUGUUCUUUUCUUUAUUGGGGUUGUUCAUUGACCAGAAAAAGAGAGUUGAGCUCAAGGUCGCUUUUUGGGCUUGGACUUUGAAGAAUCAAUCACCAAUGCCCUUGUCCAACGCGUAGCAUGAGGCUCCACUGCAGGCUUUGUCUCUCCCUCCGAGUCCCUAAGCAGCUCAGAGACAUCCCUGCCUUUUCCAACACUUUGUCUCUCAGCUUUGGCCGCAGCUUCUUGAAGCGCAAAGGCGUUCGUAACAUCUUCAUCUUCCCCGACCUCCAGCUCUGUGGGAUUGCCUUGGGCUGCAAGUGUAAAGAAACCAAGGAAAGGAUUAAAGAGGGCAGAUUCAGGAAAAUUUCAUAAAUUACAAGUUAAAGAAGUAAGGGAUACCUAUUAGAAGUAGUUGGUUCUUCUGAUGAAUCAUCUCCUUCCAAUCUUCAAGUUCACUUGGCUUUGGAUGGGAUUUGAUUGUGAGUUGCUUGAAAAAGGCAAUCAUGAGCCUCAUGCAGGUUUCCUCUAUACUUCUUGCUCCAUUUUGCUUCCCACCAGAAAGAGAAGGUCGAGGUGCAUUCAAAAUUAAGAGCCAUAGGUUUGCGGGCAACUUUGCUCAGUACCUCAAGACUUUGAUGGGCAGCUAAUGCGAAAAUUAACUUAACACACAAAUUUAACCCUCUUUUGACAAUUGUAGUAUAAAUAUAAGUAGGGAUCGUUCUAGACCGGUGAUUAGGAGGGCUUGCUAAUAACCUCUAAACUGACUCAAAAACAUAAAACUAAACUUAAAAACACUUAACAAGAUUCACAAGACUCAAAGCAAACUUAAAAUACUCAAAACAGCUUAAAACAACCAAAUAAACUUAAAUUAGACACUAGGAAUGACUUUGAACGAAAAUUGACUUUUACUUGAAUCAAAACACUUAAAAACACAAGCUAAAACAGAUUUGAAACACUUUGAAACAAGAAACUAAAAGAGGGGUUUUGAUUUGGAUGAAGUUGAAACAAACAAACAAGUAUGAAAAACUAGAUAGAUUGUAAAACAAAUUUGAGAAAUAAGAUGAUGGAUGGGAUAGCUAGAGGUUUUUUCUCCACACAGGACAUGUAUGCAAAUAAUUUGAUUUCCAGUCACUACUUCAUUGAAUUAUGAAUGACAAUGUUCCAAAUUAACCGUGACAUCACUAGUUAAAUCUCAGAUUUUCCUUGUUUUAUUGGAUUGGAUGACAUCAUUCGACAACCCAAAACAUUCUUCAAAAGUUCCCUACAUGACAUCAUAAUAGAGAUACAAUCAAAGAUCAUUACGUUUAAUGAAAAUCAUAAGCAUUGACAAAGCACUUGCAACUAUGACAUCUUGUCGCUUAUGCUAGGAAUUGAACUUAACGCGAUCGUUUAUAAGCGACCUCCACUACUUAUGAAUAUAAGUUUGUAACGAUUAUGUGAAACUUCCUUAUAUUCUACCAUCGGAUUUAUGCAUGACAAUUAAGUGUCGACCCUUAAUCAACAAAUACAAAUAAGUUAUCAAUCAAAUAGUUAAGCCAAUUGCAUUCACGAUUCAAGAGUACAUAACUAGAAUUUAUCAAAUUAUAUUGCACACAUAAUCAUGGCUUUGAAAUCACCCCUAGCUAAGAGGGGUUUAGCCAUUCAUAUUUACAACAAAACGAAAGGAAAUUAAUUUAAACAUUAGAAACAAAAGAAAGAAAACACAUAAACGCUCCAACGAUCCAAGUUGGAUAGCAAGCACGUCCAAGCACUUUCCUUCCCUUCCUUUGCUACGGCACAAGGUGUUGGUGAGUGUUUGAAGGUUUGUUUGUAUGGAGGAAUGGAUGUGAAGAUGAAUGGAUGUGUUUGUAUGAAGUGGUAUUGAAAUGGGGAUGAAUGAUCAAGGAAAAACUAAGCUCUAUGGCUGCCACACACACUUCCUUUUAUAGAGGAUGUGCACGGCAAGGAAGGUGAAUUGGUGGUGUGUGCAAUGAUUCAAGGGUGAAAAUGAAGUAAUGAUGCAAAGCAUGGGGGGUAAAAUGGAGUGGUGUUGCAGCUAGGGAACAUGAAUGAUUGUGCACAUGGAAUAGAAAGGAAAGAUAGGUGGAAUGGUGCAGAAAUGAGUCAAAGGUGCAGGAAAUGUCAUGAUGCACGGCAUGGGAUUCCAAAGGUGGUGGAUGGUGCAUCAAUGAGUACAUGUAGUGGAGGUAAAAGUUGUAUGAAAUCUAAUGGGUGAAGGGAACAAGGACUGUGCAACAAUUGAGUGUAAUGAUUCAAUGUAUUGAUGCAUGAAAUCAGAAAUAAUGAAGGAGACAAGGGUGGUGCACGGCAAUGAAGUGUAAUCAGUGUAAUGGUGCAUGAAAUGAGUGUAAGAAAUCUGGUGCAUGAAGGGGACAAGGGUGAUUAUGCAUGGCAUGGGUGGAAAGGUGAGUAAGUGGUGAAUCAAUGAGUGCAAAGAGGUGAAAGUAUAUUGUGCACAUGGUGGACAAAG
rnacentral:lncRNA from 1 species